CCUACGGGUGGCAGCAGGGAGGAAUAUUGGUCAAUGGACGAGAGUCGGAACCAGCCAAGUAGCGUGAAGGAUGACGGCCCAAUGGGUGGUAAACUUCGUUUAUAAAGGAAUAAAACGAGGCACGUGUGCCUUUUUGCAUGUACUUUAUGAAUAAGGAUCGGCUAACUCCGUGCCAGCAGCCGCGGUAAUACGGAGGAUCCGAGCGUUAUCCGGAUUUAUUGGGUUUAAAGGGAGCGUAGAUGGGUUGUUAAGUCAGUUGUGAAAGUUUGCGGCUCAACCGUAAAAUUGCACUUGAUACUGGCAGUCUUGAGUACAGUUGAGGUAGGCGGAAUUCGUGGUGUAGCGGUGAAAUGCUUAGAUAUCACGAAGAACCCCGCUUGCGAAGGCAGCUUACUAAACUGUGACUGACAUUGAUGCUCGAAAGUGUGGGUAUCAAACAGGAUUAGAUACCCGUGUAGUC
rnacentral:rRNA from 1 species